AGGACCUUGUGAAGAUGCUGGAGGAAACAGGCACAAAGGUAUCUAUAACCACAGUAAAACGAGUCCUAUAUCGACAUAACCUGAAAGGCUGCUCAGUAAGGAAGAAGCCACUGCUCCAAAACCGCCAUAAAAAGCCAGACUACAGUUUGCAACUGCACAUGGGGACAAAGAUCGUAGAUUUUGUAGAAGAGGAGGCUUGCAAGCUGAAGAUCACCAUCCCAACUGUGAAGCACGGGGUGGCAGCAUCAUGUUGUGGGGUGCUUUUCUGCAGGAGGGACUGGUGCACUUCACAAAAUAGAUGGCAUCAUGAGGUAGGAAAUAUUGAAGCAACAUCUCAAGACAUCAGUCAGGAAGUUGAAAGCUUGGUCGCAAGUGGGUCUUCCAAAUGGACAAUGACCCCAAGCACACUUCCAAAGUUGUGGCAAAAUGGCUUAAGGACAACAAAGUCAAGGUAUUGGAGUGGCCAUCACAAAGCUCUAACCUCAAUCCUAUAGAACAAUUGUGGGCAGAACUGAAAAGGUGUGUGUGAGCAAGGAGGCCUACAAACCUGACUCGGUUACACCAGCUCUGUCAAGAGGAAUGGGCCACACUUCCACAAUUUAAUGUGGGAAGCUUGUAGAUGGCUACCCAAAACGUUUGACCCAAGUUAAACAAUUUAAAAGCAAUGCUACCAAAUACAAAUUGAGUGUAGGUAAACUUCUGACCCACUGGGAAUGUGAUGAAAGAAAUAAAAGCUGAAAUAAAUAAUUAUCUUUUCUAUUAUUCUGACAUUUCACUUUCUUAAAAUAAAGUGGUGAUCCUAACUGACCUAAGACAGGGAAUUUUUUACAAAGAUUAAAUGUCAGGAAUUCUGAAAAACUGAGUUGAAAUGUAUUCAAAUCUAAUUUUAUUUGUCACAUACACAUGGUUGGCAGAUGUUAAUGCGAGUGUAGCGAAAUGCUUGUGCUUUUCGUUCCGACAAUGCAGUAAUCCAAUGAGUAAUCUUACCUAACAAUUUCACAACAAUUACCUUAUACACAAGUGUAAAGGAAUGAAAUAAGAAUAUGUACAUCAAAAAUCUAUGAAUUAGUGAUAGUAUAGAACGGCAUAGGCACGAUGCAGUGGAUGUAGUACAGUAUAUACAUAUGAGAUGGGUAAUGUAGGGUAUGUAAACAUUAUAUGAAGUGGCAUUGUUUAAAGUGAGUAGUGAUUAAUUUAUAACAUCAAUUUUGCCAGUGGCUGGAGUUGAGUCAGUAUGUUGGCAGCAGCCACUCAAUGUUAAUGAUGGCUGUUUAACAAUCUGAUGGCCUUGAGAUAGAAGCUGUUUCAGUCUCUCGGUCCCUGCUUUGAUGCACCUGUACGGACCUCGCCUUCUGGGCGAUAGCGGGGUGAACAGGCAGUGGCUCGGUUGGUUGUUGUCCUUGAGCUUUUUGGCCUUCCUGUGACAUCGGGUGGUGUAGGUGUCCUGGAGGGCAGGUAGUUUGCCCCCGGUGAUGCGUUGUGCAGACCUCACUACCCCCUGGAGAGCCUUACGGUUAUGGGCGGAGCAGUACCAGGCGGAGCAGUACCAGGCGGUGAUAGAGCCCGACAGGAUGCUCUCGAUUGUGCAUCUGUAGAAGUUUGUGAGUGCUUUUGGUGACAAGCCGAAUUUCGUCAGCCUCCUUAGGUUGAAGAGGUGCUGUUGCGCCUUCUUCACCACGCUGUUUGUGUGGUUGGACCAUUUCAGUUUGUCUGUGAUGUGUACGCAGAGGAACUUAACGUUCUACCCUCUCCACUACUGUCCCGUCGAUGUGGAUAUAGGGGGGUGCUCCCUCUGCUGUUUCCUGAAGUCCACGAUCAUCUCCUUCGAUUUGUUGGCGUUGAGUGUGAGGUUAUUUUCAUGACACCACACUCCGAGGGCCCUCAACUCCUCUCUGUAGGCCACCUCGUCGUUGUUGGUAAUCAAGCCUACCACUGUAGUAUCGCCUGCGAACUUGAUGAUUGAGUUGGAGGCGUGCAUGGCCACGCAGUCGUGGGUGAACGAGGAGUACAGGAGAAGGCUGAGAACACGUCCCAGUGUUGAGGAUCAGCGGGGUUGAGAUGUGGUUACCUACCCUCACCACCUGUGGGCGGCCCGUCAGGAAGUCCAGGACCCAGUUGCACAGGGCGGGAUCGAGCUUGAUGACGAAUUUGAAGGGUAGUAUGGUGUUAAGUGCUGAGCUGUAGAACAGCAUUCUCACAUAGGUAUUAAGAUUGGUUAGGGCAGUGUGAUUGCGUCGUCUGUGGUCCUAUUGGUGCGGUAAGCAAAUUGGAGUGGGCCUAGGGUGUCCGGUAGGGUGGAGGUGAUAUGGUCCUUGACUAGUCUCUCAAAGCACUUCAUGAUGACGGAAGUGAGUGUUACGGGGCGAUAGUCGUUUAGUCCCGUUACCUUAGCUUUCUUGGGAACAGGAACAAUGGUGGCCCUCUUGAAGCAUGUGGGGACAGCAGACUGGGAUAAGGAUGAUUGAAUAUGUCCGUAAACACACUAGCCAGCUGGUCUGCGCAUGCUCUGAGGACGCGACUGGGGCUGCCGUCUGGGCCUGCAGCCUUGCGAGGGUUGACACUUUUAAAUGUUUUGCUCACGUUGGCUAAGGUGUGUGUGUGUGUGUGUGUGUGUGUGUGUACGACUUCAACUGUGUUUGCCCAUUGCAGAAGUGCUCAGAAAUUAACUUUGGACAUGAAUGCCAAAACAUUCAAGAGAUAAAGGUUCUCGGUUGAAUGCAUUCCGUUGUGCAGCUGACUAGGUAUCCCCUUUCCUUUCAUUUCCCUUUCAAAGUUUUUGCUUUGAGACAUCCAUAUCUUCAUCACUGAAGAUCACUAUUUUCAUCGCUAUUUUAUAAUGAUAUAAUGUUUUUUUUGUUUUUUGUAAAUCUUUUAAAAAAAUCUAGCAUCUCAAUGCUGGAGGCAUCACAACCGGCCAUGAUUGGGAGUCCCAUAGGGCGGCACACAAUUGGCCCAGUGUCGUCGGGUUUGGCUGGUGUAGGCCGUCAUUGUAAAUAAGUAUUUGUUCUGAACUGACUUUCCUAGUGAAAUAAAGGUUCAAUUAAACACUCUAUUUUACAUAAUCUAAGGUUUUUGUGUUGUGCCCGCCAUCAGUUGAGAGACAACAUUCUCUUGAACACAGGAUGGUUGUCAUGUUUUGACUGAUAAAUGUACUAAAAUCAGAAUAACAUGUCAUCUUUCAAAUGGUACCACAAAGAUGGUUGGAGGUCCACACAUCAGAGAAUGUUGACUUGGAAUAUGUUAUUUUAAAUUAUACUGUCAAUCCUCCAUAAGAAACCUAAUGAAAUCAUUGAAAUGUAGAUACUGUAAUAGGAAAGGCAUGAAAUUCGCUGGUGGGUGGACACGUGUCAUAUUUGUGGCAUUAAUUAGAACUAAAAAUGUCAAUUCAUUUUACAUUUCGAUGAUGUACUGGCUAAAUUUCAGUAGUCUGAAGGGAUUUGUCCAUUAUAUGAAUUAUAUUGCUAUGCUUGAAAUAACACUAGGACUGUCCUUUUUCUUUCUUUUUUUGUUGAAUUUUUUUAAUACACGUUUAUUUUUCCAUAGACACACCCUAUGUAUUUGAAUAAAAUCAACUCUAUGUACUGAGCUUGUCUGAUGCUUUAACCCUUUACACUCAUACCCGUAUGUAUACGGGUUUAAAAAGGAAGAUUUGGGCACUAAUAAGUGCCUAAAUUGGAACGUAGUGGCUGUACAGUAACAUGCUAGAACUAAGACUGACAGCCGUUCUGAAUUUAUGCACCGCGCACGACAAGAAGUUGCCCCUUCCCUCCCAGUAAUUGGGCAACUUUUGCCUUUUUUUUUUUUUUUGUGUGUGAGGGAGAGAAAUGCUAUAAAUUAAGAUGACACAUUGAAGAUGAUCAUAUGAUAAUAUAAUAUGAUAAUAAAUACCUCAUUGAUGUCAUACAAGCUAGCCAAACACCCGUCAGUCCAAAUGUGCACUUCACAUUUCCAAAUCUUAAAACCCAUGUCAUGUACAAUGUCAACAUUUGUGAUCACUAUGUUUGAUGUAGGGUUAACAUAGGGUUGACAUGGCUUGUUCUGAACAGAAUGAGCCUAUGUUUGUUGUGAAGAGAAUUUAACGGCACACGCUAGCGUUGCACGGUAUACCGAAAUCUGUACUUUUUCGAUAUUAAAUCAUGAAAAACGGUUAGGUACUAGAAUUGUUACUUUCGGUACUUCAGGCCUUCGCAGAUUCUACCAUUACGCUCUGGAAGUUGCCGCCAAUGGGCUACACGAUAAGUUUUGUUUGAACUAUAUUUGAGAAGGCCAAGUGAAAAUGAAGAGUUAUGUUGUUUAACAUGCAAAUCACGAUUGCGCCAAUUCAACAGCUCACCGAAGAGUGUUUCAGAAUGGCAGAGAGCGACCGCUGUCCAAUGCGGGAGAAAGCACUCAAUGAAGAUUCAGUUAAUCACCUUGGAGAGCUCCACUGCAGCGGCUUCUGACAAGCAAACACAAUCUGUCAACUAGAAUCUUCAACUAGAAAAACAAAGACAAUGACCCAACACACCUCCCAGGCUGUGUAAUUUAACCAAGGAGGAGAGUGAUGGAGUGCUGCGUCAGAUGACCUGGCCUCCACAAUCAUGCGACCUCAACCCAAUUGAGAUGUUUUGGGAUGAGUUGGACCGCAGAGUGAAGGAAAAGCAGCCAACAAGUGCUCAGCAUAGUUAGGAACUCUUUCAAGACUUUUGGAAAAUAAUUCCAGGUGAAGCUGGUUGAGAGAAUGCAAAGCUGUUAUGAAGGCAAAGGGUGGCUACUUUGAAGAAUAUAAAAUAUAUUUAGAUUAGUUUAAUACUUUUUUUUGGUUACUACUUGAUUCCAUAGUUUUGAUGUCUUCACUAUUAUUCUACAAUGUAGAACAUAGCAAAAAAUAAAGAAAAACCCUUGAAUUUGUAGGUGUGUCCAAACUUUUGACUGGUACUGUAUAUCUGGGGAAGGGUAUAAAACAAUUUCUAGAGUGUUGAAAGUUUCCAAGAGCAAAGUGAUCUCCAUUAUUGGGAAAUGGAAAAUAAUAUAGAACUACCCAAACUCUGCCUAGAGCUGGCCGACUGACCAAACUCUGCAACCGGGCAAGAAGGACCCUGGUCAGGGAAGUGACCAAGAACCCAAUGACAGAGUUCUUUGGCUGAGCCUGUCAAUAGGACAACAGUCUCGAUAGCACUUCACCAAUCUGGGCUUUAUGGGAGAGUGGCCAGACGUAAGCCUCUCCAGAGGAAAAAGCCACUGUGGCAAAGAUUUAUAUUCCAACAGGACAAUGGCCCUAAGCAUAGAGCCAAAGCAAUGCUGGAAUUGCUUCAGAACAAGAAUGUGAAAGUCCUUAAGUGUCCCAGCCAAUGCCCAGACUUGAAUCCCAUUUGAAAAUCUGUGGAAAUACUUGAAGAUUGCUGUUCACUGCCACUCCCCAUCUAAUUUAACAGAACUUGAGAGAAUCUGCAAGAAAGAAUGCUAAAAAAAUCCAGAUGUGCAAAGCUGAUAGACAUACCCAAGAUGACUAAAAGCUGUAAUCCCUGCUCAAAGGUGCUUCUACAAAGCAUUGACUGUAAUAUUUCUGUAUUUCAUUUUCAUUUUCAGUCAAUUUGCAAAAAUGUCUAAACACGUUUUCACCUUGCUAUUGUGUGUAGAUGGGUGAGAAAUCGAUUUAAACCAUGUUGAAUUCAGGCUGAAACACAACAAAAUGUGGAAUAAGUCAUGGGGUAUGACUACUUUCUGAAGGCACUAUAUGUCUUAGAGCAGUGGUUCCCAAGCUUUUUCACUUACUGAACCAACAAUUGCAUGUUUCUCUGCCCGCGGUACCCCUGAAGUACAAACAAUCGACCUGUUGACUAAAUGGGGACAACCCUAAAUGGCGCUCACCCUGUAUUCAAGAGCAUGUUGUGUCUCAACCAAUAGCGGGCACAACACAACAACCUCAGAUGUGAAAUAGGCUCUAAGCUACAACAUUUGUGAAUAUGGAAGGAAAUCUGGAGUUUGUGUUUUUAGAUAAUUGACGUUAAAGGUUUAUUUAUUUUUAUUACAAAACCUUUUUUUCAAUAAAUAAUUCAUGUUUGACCA